rnacentral:rRNA from 1 species
AUUGAACGCUGGCGGCAUGCUUUACACAUGCAAGUCGAACGGUAACAGGCCGCAAGGUGCUGACGAGUGGCGAACGGGUGAGUAAUGCAUCGGAACGUGCCCAGUCGUGGGGGAUAACGCAGCGAAAGCUGCGCUAAUACCGCAUACGAUCUAUGGAUGAAAGCGGGGGACCGUAAGGCCUCGCGCGAUUGGAGCGGCCGAUGUCAGAUUAGGUAGUUGGUGGGGUAAAGGCUCACCAAGCCAACGAUCUGUAGCUGGUCUGAGAGGACGACCAGCCACACUGGGACUGAGACACGGCCCAGACUCCUACGGGAGGCAGCAGUGGGGAAUUUUGGACAAUGGGCGCAAGCCUGAUCCAGCAAUGCCGCGUGCAGGAAGAAGGCCUUCGGGUUGUAAACUGCUUUUGUACGGAACGAAAAGGCUCUGGAUAAUACCUGGGGCUCAUGACGGUACCGUAAGAAUAAGCACCGGCUAACUACGUGCCAGCCGCAGCAGUAACAC